rnacentral:rRNA from 1 species
CCUACGGGAGGCAGCAGUAGGGAAUCUUCCACAAUGGACGAAAGUCUGAUGGAGCAACGCCGCGUGAGUGAAGAAGGGUUUCGGCUCGUAAAGCUCUGUUGGUCGUGAAGAAAGAUAGAGGUAGUAACUGGCCUUUAUUUGACGGUAAUUACUUAGAAAGUCAAGGCUAACUACGUGCCAGCCGCCGCGGUAAUACGUAGGUGGCAAGCGUUGUCCGGAUGUAUUGGGCGUAAAGGGAGUGCAGGCGGUUCAAUAAGUGUGAUGUGAAAGCCUUCGGCUCAACCGGAGAAUUGCAUCAGAAACUGUUGGACUGGAGUGCAGAAGAGGAGAGUGGAACGCCAGGUGUAGCGGUGGAAUGCGUAGAUAUAUGGAAGAACACCAGUGGCGAAGGCGGCUCUCUGGUCUGCAACUGACGCUGAGGCUCGAAAGCAUGGGUAGCGAACAGGAUUAGAUACCCCUGUAGUC